AGUCAUGGUGAUUAUACAACAGGCUAUUCUGUCUGUGGGUCAGCUAGCCAUUCUGAAAGGGAGCAAGCUCUGUGUUCUAGAAAACAGCAUCAAGGUUUCCAGUGCCCAGGAGUUGAUGGCUGCCCUCCAGGAUGGCAUGGCCUCAGGUAUGAACAGUCUCUUAGACUCUGGACUGGAGACCGCACAGGCACUCAGGCAGGACCUCUCCAGUUAAAGUACAUAAGAUGAGCAAGAUAUGGGCCAGCUCUGCUCAUAGAUUGGUCCAGUGUUAUGAAACGCCUGAUCUACUCAGAAAAGGAGGACGGCUGAAUAUCUAUCAAAAGUCACUGGACAGCUGUAAUAAAUUAGAAUAUCAGAGAGAGGGGAGAGACAUGAAGCAGCUGGGAAAAACUGAGAACUGGCUGACUUUUCUGUAUUAUCUGCAUAGUAAUUGAAGUACACACUAAGGUAUUGUUUUCCCUUCAUUUGGAUGAGAGGAUCUUUACAGAGAAAGUACACUCAGAAAAGAUGAAUUAGCCUUAAACUUGCUAUAAAGUCACUGGCCAAGGAUUACUAAAAACCUGGAGAGGCUCCACACUACUUCAAGGGACAGCUGAGUUCCAUUAAAUAUUGGCCAGAACUGCAUCUGUAUGCUGCCACCAGCAUGCAAAGAUAUUUAUACCAUCUAGAGCUCUUAGGAUUGUCCACUGUAGAUCCCGCCAGAUGGAUGACUCUAU